rnacentral:rRNA from 1 species
GAUGAACGCUAGCUACAGGCUUAACACAUGCAAGUCGAGCGAGGUUGCGGAUGGGUGCUUGCACCCUGAAGCUACCUAGCGGCGGACGGGUGAGUAACGCGUGAGUAACCUGCCUUAUACAGGGGGAUAACAACGAGAAAUCGUUGCUAAUACCGCAUAAGACCACGGUAUCGCAUGGUACAGGGGUAAAAGGAGCAAUCCGGUAUAAGAUGGACUCGCGUCCCAUUAGCUAGUUGGUGAGAUAACAGCCCACCAAGGCAACGAUGGGUAGCCGACCUGAGAGGGUGAUCGGCCACACUGGGACUGAGACACGGCCCAGACUCCUACGGGAGGCAGCAGUGGGGAAUAUUGGGCAAUGGGCGAAAGCCUGACCCAGCAACGCCGCGUGAAGGAAGAAGGUCUUCGGAUUGGUAAACUUCUGUCGUCAGGGACGAAAAAGGACGGUACCUGGCAAGAAAGCCCCGGCUAACUACGUG